rnacentral:rRNA from 1 species
AGAGUUUGAUCAUGGCUCAGAUUGAACGCUGGCGGCGUGCCUAACACAUGCAAGUCGAGCGGCAGCGGGCCCGCAAGGGUGCCGGCGAGCGGCGGACGGGUGAGCAAUACAUAGGAAUCUGCCUCAGAGCGGGGGAUAGCCAGGGGAAACCCUGAUUAAUACCGCAUGAUGUCGAGAGACCAAAGUGGGGGACCGUAAGGCCUCACACUCUGAGAUGAGCCUAUGUCGGAUUAGCUAGUUGGCGGGGUAACGGCCCACCAAGGCGACGAUCCGUAGCUGGUCUGAGAGGACGAUCAGCCACACUGGAACUGAGACACGGUCCAGACUCCUACGGGAGGCAGCAGUGGGGAAUCUUGCGCAAUGGGCGAAAGCCUGACGCAGCAACGCCGCGUGUGUGAUGAAGGUCUUCGGAUCGUAAAGCACUGUCGGGAGGGACGAAUAAGGCGGCGGCUAACAUCCGCAGCCGAUGACGGUACCUCCAAAGGAAGCACCGGCUAACUCUGUGCCAGCAGCCGCGGUAAUACAGAGGGUGCGAGCGUUGUUCGGAAUUAUUGGGCGUAAAGCGCGUGUAGGCGGCCUUGCAAGUUGGGUGUGAAAGCCCUCGGCUUAACCGAGGAAGUGCGCCCAAAACUACAGGGCUUGAGUACCGGAGAGGGUGGCGGAAUUCCCGGUGUAGAGGUGAAAUUCGUAGAUAUCGGGAGGAACACCAGUGGCGAAGGCGGCCACCUGGACGGAUACUGACGCUGAGACGCGAAAGCGUGGGUAGCAAACAGGAUUAGAUACCCUGGUAGUCCACGCUGUAAACGAUGAGCGCUAGGUGUUGUGGGUGUUGACCCCCGCAGUGCCGCAGCUAACGCAUUAAGCGCUCCGCCUGGGAAGUACGGCCGCAAGGCUAAAACUCAAAGGAAUUGACGG